rnacentral:rRNA from 1 species
AGAGGUCCCGCCUGCCCUGUGACUAUAUGUUUAACGGCCGCGGUAUUUUGACCGUGCGAAGGUAGCGCAAUCACUUGUCUUUUAAAUGGAGACCUGUAUGAAUGGCACAACGAGGGCUUAACUGUCUCCUUUUUCUAGUCAAUGAAAUUGAUCUUCCCGUGCAGAAGCGGGAAUAUUUACAUAAGACGAGAAGACCCUAUGGAGCUUUAGACACCAAAGCAGACCAUGUUAAUCACCCCUGGAUAAUGGGUUAAACAAUAUUGAACCCUGCCCUAAUGUCUUCGGUUGGGGCGACCACGGAGAAAUAAAAAACCCCCGCGUGGAAUAGGGAUACUAUCCCCACAGUCACGAGCCUCCGCUCUAUCAAACAGAACAUCUGACCAACCAGAUCCGGCAAUGCCGACCAACGGACCAAGUUACCCUAGGGAUAACAGCGCAAUCCCCUUCUAGAGCCCAUAUCGACAAGGGGGUUUACGACCUCGAUGUUGGAUCAGGACAUCCUAAUGGUGCAGCCGCUAUUAAGG